AUGGUGGGGUCGCCGACGAAGCGGCUGGCGCGGCGGGUGAUGAGGAGGCCGCUGGAGAAGGCCGGGAUGGUGGGGCUCGCUGUAGUGGCCACGGCCACCGCCGCGCUGCUGCUGCUCGUCUGUGCCGCCUCGCUCCGCUGCUCCGCCGCCGUCGACUACGCGCUCGCGGCGCCCAGGAGGCUCUGGAGCGGCGGGGUCUCCAUCGCGGCCGAGGCGUCGCCGUCGCCGUCGGCGGUGAGGGGGAGCGGCGCCGUUAAGAAGGCGGCGGCGGCGGCGGCGGCGGCGAUGGUGGUAGGGGAGGAGUGCGACCUGUUCGACGGGAGUUGGGUGUGGGACGACACCUACCCGCUCUACGAGUCCAAGGACUGCCCCUUCUUAGACGUCGGGUUCCGGUGCUCGGAAAACGGCCGGCCGGACGCUUCCUAUGUCAAAUGGCGGUGGCAGCCGUCGCGCUGCGAUCUACCCAGAUUUGAUGCCAAAUUUAUGCUCGAGAAGCUACGGAAUAGAAGGGUGGUAUUUGUUGGUGAUUCAAUUGGAAGGAACCAAUGGGAGUCUCUGCUUUUCCUUCAAGGCCGUGCACCAGCUGGAGCCCCUAAGGUUGUUAAGUACACAGUUAGGGUGGAUGCCAUGGAUUGGAUGUCGGGCCGCGGUAAGUGGAGCAGUGCUGAUAUUUUGAUCUUUAACACUGGGCAUUGGUGGAACUACGAGAAAACUAUCAGAGGGGGUGCCUAUUUCCAAGAAGGAAGUGAGGUCAAGAUGGAGAUGACUGUUACUGAUGCGUACCAAAAAUCAAUACGAACACUAUUCAAUUGGCUUCACAAAGAAGUUAACACAAGCAAGACCCACGUCAUCUUCCGUACUUAUGCUCCUGUGCACUUCAGAGGUGGUGACUGGAGGAGUGGAGGGAGUUGCCACUUGGAAACUCUUCCUGAUGCGACACCAGUUAAAUCACUGGAGGAAUGGGCUGACAUGCUUCAACCUGUGCAUAAUUUUCUUGGGAGUAGCAUCAGACCCAAGCUGCCUGGGUUAGCUAUAUUGAACGUGACACAGAUGACAGCGCAGCGAAAAGAUGGUCACCUCUCAGUAUACCUCAGCCCUUCAGGACCUGUACCUCUGCACAGGCAGGAUUGCAGCCAUUGGUGCUUGCCUGGAGUUCCUGAUACCUGGAAUGAGCUUCUGUACGCCGUCUUCAUGAAAAGGCAAAAGAUGAUGGACCAAAAUGUUUCUCUUGCAGGCUCAACAACACUGAACACAGGCUGA
rnacentral:rRNA from 1 species